GUUUUUAAGAGAAGAGUAGAGGGGAGGAGGCAAAAGGAAAACGACAACCGCUCAGCAGGGGCUGAGGAAGGAAUGGUUGGGCUGGGGCUACAGAGAGGGGUACAGGGAGGGAGGAAGGGCCACGCAGCAAGGAGAAUAAAACUGAACUGUCUUCCUGUCGUCUGGAGAGAGGUACGAUUGCUCUUUGCGAAUGCGACACGCCGGCUUUUGCAUGGUAUCGCCCAUUCGAAAGCGUUGUCCGGCCUGGCGUCCGUUUCGUUUGCGUUAUUAUGUAAUGUUACGUGCGAAUAGCGUGUAUAUGGCACGCCGGUAAAAGGCUGUUGCACUAUUAAAGAAAAUUGCCCUCUCGCGGUGGUGAAUAGGAAGCGUCAUGCAUUCUUCGAUACGGUCAUCGAUCUGCUAUUCGAUCUAAGAACGUAAACUCUGCUAUGUAUAGUACUUUAGAAGUUUUUUUAAUAAUAAAAGAAUAAUAUAAAUUGAAGAGAAGUAAGUAGAAUAUAUUUCAAAUAUAUAUAUUCUCAUAGAAUACGAAAUAUAUAAUAAAGAAAUCAUUUCUAAGAAACUUUGAAUACUAUACUAGAUAUUUAUUUAUUUAUUAUAUAUAUUUAGGUUAUUAAAUUUUAUCUCUUUAAAAUUUGUACAAACGCUUUAUUUUUAAUAUUUUUAGAUAAUUUUUUGAUUAUUUUAAGUGAAAUUUUAUUUAAAUUAACCUAAAACGAACAAUGUAAAUAUGUAUACUAUUCAUCUUAGUUUUUCUUUGCUACUAAGUAAAUCAUUUUAUCUUAAUUUUUGUUAUCAAAAAGUUCAACUCAAGCUGUACUUUGUCUCUCAAAUGUCAAAGAUAACAAUCUGUCUUUUAAUGAUUGCGAUGUUUCUCACAGUAUUUACUAUUUUUAUCAAUGCAGUAAUUGACAAUAAAAAUAUAUAUAUUCUUUAUUGAUAUCGAUUCCUAUUUUUUCUAAUUAUUCUAAAGUGACAUUCGAUUGUUAAUUUGAGUUUUUUGACGUUACAAAAAUAUCAUAAAAUGCAUUACGGGAAAGUCAUUAUCAUUGCAUCAGUUAACACUCUACGUGUAAGGGGAAGUGGGCGUGAAUUAAAAUGUUAGACGACACUGAAAUAUGCACGGGAAUUUUUCUGUUACGCGACGCAAUAAUUAAACAUUGAGAUUUAAAAGAAAUUAUUUGUUUCAUUAUUAAUUCUUAUAAUCAUAUUAAAUUAUAUAUUAAAUUACUAUUAUUGGCAUGUUUUUAGUCAAAUUAAUUUGUUUAAAUACAAAAUUGAAGUUUCAUAUUACUUAAAAUUGUAAUAUAUAAUCAAUUAUAAAAACUUUAAAUUACAAAAACAAAACUAAAAUAUUAUUCUUCUAUAAAUUAUUAAAAACAACACAUUCUGUAAAAUAAAUCUACGAAAUUUAAACUUUAAAAUUCUCGGAAUGUGUUUCGGAAAUGUUCAAUUCUUUUCUUCUUUUUUCAAAUGGACCAUCCAAAGGAAAACAGGAAGGAGAGGAUGAAGAGGAGAAAGGAAGAAAUAAGAGAGGAAAAAAGGUCCACGACCGGAUCUUAUAAUUACGCUAAUUAGGCAGUAACGUGUAAAAAGAGCGGCGCGAGUAUUUAUCACAAGGUAUCGUGGAAGGUAUACGGAGGUCGGCAAAGGAGGACGUCGUACGACAGAAUACGACAGGAAAGGCUAUAAUACAAUUUUGCCGCAAGCAUCAGAAGUAACAGCAGCAGCCACGGCGAUUAACAAUAAAUUAAUUAUUAUGUUUACACAUAUUAUGUAUAAAUUAAAAAUUUAUAUUAUAUUUAAACAUAAACAUUAAGGUCAUAUUAAUUUAACGUACCCGAUCCAGACAUCUUCUAAGAUUUACGAACAAGGCAUAUUCAAAGAAUCUCAUACUCUUUCAUAAAAAUUAGCCCAUCCCUACAUAAGAUGCGCCAACGCGUUCCCUAUGCGCGUGUCUAGCUUAGCAAAGGGUUCAUUCAAGCGGAAUUAUCGUUAUCGCUGGUUUCCCGUUCUAUUUUUCCGUGGGUGUGUAAUCAGCGACCGACAAACCCGGACUGAACGUGUGUGGUUGCUACCCGUCAGAGAUUUUUCUCUCAUCAGGCCAGAACAGCCCGGGACUGAGCGUUUAUGGGUACCUUUGCUGGAUGGAUUCGUCGGAAGGGGAGGGUCGUGGGAUAGAGGGGUUGGGUAGCGGCGGUGGCGGCGACGUGAGGGGGAGAGAGAGAGGAAAGAGAGAGCCUCGGUUGGAUUACGGGCCAGUCGAGCCGGAGCGGGGGUGGGGGGAAGGAGGAAGCGGUCGGCGCCUUUGAUCUCAGCCGCGGGCGCCGACAAAGCGUUCAUCCACUCUCCUACAACGGCGUGCUGUCUCGCGAGUAGGAGCGCGACAAUGCUCACCAGGCAAAGCAUGCGAGAGAGAUAACGGAUAAAGUGAGCCAACCGGUAAGGUAGCAUAAUACAGAGCAAGAAGGAAGAGAAGCGGAAAGAGAAAGCUUGAGCAACGCCGGACGAAUGGUACGCUGCGGCGCGAUGGGAGAAGGGAGAAAAACAUAGAGAGGCCGAAGAACACAUGGAGAGACUGAGAGAAAGAGAGCUCUUCGAUCAGACGGAGAAACGAAUGGAAAAAGAGGGACCAAGGGACGAGUAAAGGGAAAAGAUAGGGAACGAGAAAGUGUAAACACAAAUGAAAGAGAAAGAAAGGGAUAGGAAACAGAGAUGAUUCGUUGGAGAAACAGAAAGAGCUAGAAAAAUGGAGAAGGAGAUUGGAAGGAAAAGAGGAAGGGAGAAAAGAUCCGAAGAUCCGUUCCACGAUCUGGUGCUGUCGCGCUUGCUUUAGCAUGGCACUGCCACUCCCUUGCGCCGGCUACACCAGCUUUGCUAUUAAUAAAUAAUGCUCCGUGAUCCGCAUUACAACUAAAGCGAUUCGUUCCGCUCUUGGCUCUUUAUUCCCGAUAUCUUCGAACAUGUGGAUAUCCGCGAAAUCUCUGUUCCUUCCGUAUCGCGUCGGAUCUUUUUUAAUAGGUUUCUGAAUGAACCGUCUAUCUUCGAUACAACAAAGCUUAUAUAUGAUUUUGAAGAACAUCAUGACUUCUCUUUAGUCGUGUUAUAAGAGACGCGUUAGAGAGCUUUCAAUUUAGAGUAUUAGAGAAACAACGAUGCGAGGUGGCCAUGAUUCACGGAAAUAUGGAUGCAUCCAUUUGAUGGGUCACGAAACUGCUAUUUGUAAUAUUUCAUGUUUAUGACCUAUAUGCGAUAACAGUCAUCAAAGAAUGAUAAAUGUUAAAACGUUAUGAUGAUUAAAUGUCUAUUAGAAUAUCA